rnacentral:rRNA from 1 species
GAGACCCACGCCAACAGUUGUCAGCAUGUCCUCCGGGAUGGUGGGGACACUGUUGGGACCGCCUCUGCUAAAGAGGAGGAAGGAAUGGGCAACGGUAGGUCAGCAUGCCCCGAAUUAUCCGGGCUACACGCGGGCUACAAUGGUCAGGACAAUGGGUAUCGACACCGAGAGGUGAAGGCAAUCUCUUAAACCUGUCCUUAGUUCGGAUUGUGGGCUGCAACUCGCCCACAUGAAGCUGGAAUCCGUAGUAAUCGCGUCUCAAAAUGGCGCGGUGAAUAU